rnacentral:tRNA from 1 species
GGCAUUGUAGCUCAGUGGUAGAGCAAUCGGUUCAUACCCGAUCGGUCGCUGGUUCAAAUCUAGCCAAUGCCA